rnacentral:rRNA from 1 species
AUUGAACGCUGGCGGCAGGCUUAACACAUGCAAGUCGAGCGGAGAUGAGGUGCUUGCACCUUAUCUUAGCGGCGGACGGGUGAGUAAUGCUUAGGAAUCUGCCUAUUAGUGGGGGACAACAUUCCGAAAGGAAUGCUAAUACCGCAUACGUCCUACGGGAGAAAGCAGGGGAUCUUCGGACCUUGCGCUAAUAGAUGAGCCUAAGUCGGAUUAGCUAGUUGGUGGGGUAAAGGCCUACCAAGGCGACGAUCUGUAGCGGGUCUGAGAGGAUGAUCCGCCACACUGGGACUGGGACACGGCCCAGACUCCUACGGGAGGCAGCAGUGGGGAAUAUUGGACAAUGGGGGGAACCCUGAGACAGCCAUGCCGCGUGUGUGAAGAAGGCCUUAUGGUUGUAAAGCACUUUAAGCGAGGAGGAGGCUACUGAGACUAAUACUCUUGGAUAGUGGACGUUACUCGCAGAAUAAGCACCGGCUAACUCUGUGCCAGCCGCCGCAGUAACAC